rnacentral:rRNA from 1 species
GAUGAACGCUGGCGGCGUGCCUAAUACAUGCAAGUCGAACGCAUUGUGGUUGAAAUGAUAUGAAGAACUUGUUCAGAUUUGAUUUUCAACAUUGCAAUGAGUGGCGAACGGGUGAGUAACACGUGGGAAACCUACCUCUUAGCAGGGGAUAACAUUUGGAAACAAAUGCUAAUACCGUAUAAUAAUUAAAACCGCAUGGUUUUAGUUUAAAAGAUGGUCUUGCUAUCACUAAGAGAUGGUCCCGCGGUGUAUUAGUUAGUUGGUGAGGUAAUGGCUCACCAAGACAAUGAUACAUAGCCGAGUUGAGAGACUGACCGGCCACAAUGGGACUGAGACACGGCCCAUACUCCUACGGGAGGCAGCAGUAGGGAAUCGUUCCACAAUGGACGAAAGUCUGAUGGAGCAACGACCGCGUGUGUGAUGAAGGUUUC